rnacentral:rRNA from 1 species
UACGUAGGGUGCAAGCGUUGUUCGGAAUUACUGGGCGUAAAGGGCUCGUAGGUGGCCAACUAAGUCAGACGUGAAAUCCCUCGGCUUAACCGGGGAACUGCGUCUGAUACUGGAUGGCUUGAGUUUGGGAGAGGGACGCGGAAUUCCAGGUGUAGCGGUGAAAUGCGUAGAUAUCUGGAGGAACACCGGUGGCGAAGGCGGCGUCCUGGACCAACACUGACACUGAUGAGCGAAAGCCAGGGGAGCAAACGGG